CAACAAUGAAACAACUGCUUCUUGAGCCUUGUUUCAUCUUCAUUUUGUUGGUAAUCUCAGUUACCAACACUCCAACUUGUCUUUGCGUGGAUGAUGCGAGCUACACCAACUGUAGUAACGCUUUUAGCUGCGGAAAUAACAACUUCAACCUCAAAUACCCAUUCUGGGGAGAAAACAGAGAUAACCAUUGUGGUGGACCUAACUCGGAGUCGGAGAAACUCACAUGUGAAGCUCAAGUCCCCAAGAUAACCAUCAAUUUCAUCAAAUACCGUGUUCUUGGCUGGGAAAACACAUCACAGAUACUCAAAGUCGCAAGGGACAAUUAUUGGGACAAUAAUGUCUGUGUCAAUGGUGACAGGAACAGCACAUUUGAUAACACUCCGUUUCAAUAUGAUUAUGAUGGCCUUGUUAACGUUACGCUCUUUUAUGAUUGCCCUGCCAGUUCUUCACCUCCCACUAUUUCAUCGCUUCCAGCAUCGUCUGUGCUUACUUUUCCCUGUGGUGGUGCUGUCUACUACACUGUCCAACCUUUACCUUCUUCGUACGAGUCGCCCUGCAAUAUUGUUGUGAUUCCAAUCUUUAACGAUUCACUUUACACUCCGGAUAGAAUCAUUGAAGCUUUACAGGGAGGUUUUCAGAUUGAAUGGACGGGAAAUUAUGACAAGUGCGAGAAAUGCACUGGUUCUGGUGGAGAGUGUGGAUCCGUUGAUGGAAAUUUCCAAUGUUUCUGCAAGGAUGGACCUCAUUCUGCUUCAUGCAAAGGUAUAUAUGCUUGCUAGCUUCUUGGUUUCUCAGACUCUUGUGUCUCUUUUUCAAUUCUAGUUUAGUUAGUAAACAUCUUCAAGUUUGUUUCUGUUAAGAGUUUGAUUUUUCUAGGAAUCUAUUACUACAUUGGUUUGCUGCAACCCAACCUAGAUAUAUGAACAUAUUUAGAUCGAGUAGUGUAUCUGAUAGAGUCGCGAAAGCCUUCUAAAAACAUAACCCCAGCAUCAUAGGAAAUAUAUCCCAAUCUCAUUUUAAUUUGUUUCCCUUCUCAGUGACUUCUUGAAGCAUUACUACAAAACCUUUUUGACCGUUGACCUUUUUUAAGGAAAACAUUGCAGAUAAAGUCGUAGAUACCAGGUGGGAGUAAGUACCGUUCAAUAUUCAUCUCCAUAUUUAAAGGAAAAUAAUGGAUAAACGCCCUUAUCUUAUUUGGUUAUCUCCCUUCAUUUUACCUCACAAAAUCAUGAUGACAACAUGUAAAAUUAAAAGUCACUAUUUGUUGCUUUGCUUUUAUUAUGAAAAAUUAAUUGAUUAUUUCUCAUCAUGAAUUUAAUUUUUUUAUAUAACAAGGUGAGUUAGAAAUCACAUCAUGAAUCUAUAGGUUUUGAGCUGUUUAUCUCUCCACAACGACCAAAUGUUCACCUAAUUAAUGUGAACAUGUCAAUUAAUUUGCCUUAAUUAUUCGUCUGUUGAACUGACAAAAUAAAACCACUUGUUUCACUGAUGGAGUUCCUGUAAUUCCCCACCCUACUAUGGCUGUGUAUGAUGUUGGUCAAAGUAUACGUUGGUCUUAUUCCUUGUGCCUUAGCCCUUGGUAGCUCUUAAUUAAGUCCUAAACUAAACCCACUUUAGGGUGUAAUAAAGUCUACUUGGAAAUUUUGUUAGAGAAAAUGAAAUGAAAUGAAACAAAAUAGGGAGGGAAGCGAUGGAAUGGGGAAUAGCCAUUCACGACAUUGGGAAAUUGUGAUUGGUGAAGCCAUUCAGCAAUUCUAACGUAGAGCCUCAAUUAAUUUCUCUCAAAUAUGAAAAUGAUUCAUCUGCCGCUAGAAUUCCGGCGUUGAUUAUUAUUCUAUUUUUAAUUGUAAUAAUAUAUAUUUUGUCAAAUUUGAAAGGCCCGUUAACUUAUGAUAACUUUGACAAUUCGUAUAAUUUGUGAAGGGAAGUCAUCUUGACUAAUUAUGUUGCUUGGAAGUCUCAAAUUGUAUGAACGAAAGAAAGAAAAAAAAAACUACAUAGACUUAGUCUUUUUUCUUUUUUAAAUAAUAAAUUCAACUAAAAUUCCUUUUCCAUCUAGCAUCAUUCCUUUAAUUAAUAGCUACAACGCUUUAGUAAAAGGCUAUGCUGACCAUGUAUUGUUAUUUAUUUUUUGAACAAUUUUUUGUAUUAAUUAUUGUAUUAAUAUGUGGGAGGCUGGAUCAUGUUUCCCAUCAUGGAAAUAACUUUUGUGUUGUUGGAUCAUAUUUUAAGGCAAAUGUUAAGUGCAUUGGUUAAAGAAAUAAAAUUGAUUUGUUUUUUUUUUUAUCUAAAAAUACUAUUACUGUAUAUUUUUGUAAUUUUAAUAUAUUUUUAGUAUGAUUUCUAUAAUUUUUUAUUAUUAAUUUCUUAAUAUCCUAAAAACAUUGGCCAGUAGAAUUUUUAGUAUGAUUUUUAAUCUUAUUCAAAUUAUCUUGACUAAUAUAUAUAUAUAUAUAUAUUGGAUUUAGUCUUAUGUUGUUGUUUAUUGUUCAAUUUAUGUUUUCACAAAAAUUAUAUAUACAUAACUAUCUAUCUAUAUAUAAGAUAAUCAUGUAACCCAAUGAGUUGAUAGUAAAUUUGACUCUCUUCAUCUCCAUUCUUGCAGAAGAAGAGACCAGGCUCGUUCAAAUUUAAUAGCGGUAAAUUUAUAUUUUCAAAUUCAUACUCAUUAGAUUUUAUUGGAUUUAGGUAAACGGGCAGGGGAAUUCAUCACUUUUUAUAAUUUUAAUUUAUUUAUAUUUUUAAAAAUAUUAUUAUAUAUUAGUAAUUUGAUAUUAUUUAAUUUUAUUUUUAUAUUUGAUCCAAUAAAGAAACUAUAAUUCUCUGGUUGAUUAUCAUUUACAAAAUAUCAUUUCAUUGUAAAGCUUACAUAUAUUUUUAUUCUUUAAUAAUAUACUAAUUUUUAGUUUAAAUUUUAUUAUAGUUUUUGUUUCUUAUGAUGUUAAAACAAAUACUUUUUUAUUAUCAUAUUGUUAAUUCGGAAUAUUUACUAAUUUUGUCAAUAACCAUUUUUUCUUGAAAUUUUAAGUAAAUUAUCAUGAAUAGUUUACAUGUUGAUAUAAAAUUUGAAUGUGAACUUAUAAAUGUAACAUAUCAUUAAAAAUUAACAAUCAAAAGAGUAAUAUUUUUAUCAAAUAUUAUAUUUUAAUUUAAAUAAAAAAAAGAGACAUGAAAUAUGAUACUAAUUUCAAUAUGUUCAUAAAAAUAAUAUAGAUAGAGACUUAGGAAUAACCAAAGUGAGUUUUGUUAUUUUGAUAAAGUUCUUUUCAUACUUACUAUCAGAAAAUCGAAUACCUAUUGACAGUAUGUCUAAAAAAGUUCAAUCAUGUAUUAAUUGUAUUCGAACUGUACCGUCCCACUUUUAGACAAGGAACAAGCAUGCCUAAGCAAGCAUCAUGUUGACCCAACCUUUUUUUUCCCGAAAUUCUAAGUCGCAGUUUGGCUCGGGUUUCCUAGAAAAUUUGGUGUUGAAAUUUGUAAGCAUUGAAAGUGAAACGCAAAUUGAUUGGAGAGUUCCCACUAUAAUAGUCCACGCUCUGGUUUACUGAUUCAAUCAUCUUCUUCAUUUUGAUAAAAGUACUUCUCCUCCUACAUCUUUUUUGGUCCUACUGCAACAAUGAAACAACUGCUUCUUGAGCCUUGUUUCAUCUUCAUCUUGUUGGUAAUCUCAAUUACCAACACUCCAACUUGCCUUUGCGAAGAUGAUGCUCGCUACGCCAACUGUAGAAACGCAAUUAGCUGCGGAAAUAACAACUUCAACCUCAAAUACCCAUUCUGGGGAGAAGACAGAGGUAGCAUUUGUGGUGGACCUAACUACGAGUCGGAGGAACUCACAUGUGAAGGUCAAGUCCCCAAGAUAACCAUAAAUUUCAUCAGAUACCGUGUUCUUGGCUGGGAAAACAC
rnacentral:lncRNA from 1 species